ACCGUACUCCUACGGGAGGCAGCAGUGGGGAGUUUUGGACAAUGGGCGAAAGCCUGAUCCAGCAAUGCCGCGUGCAGGAUGAAGGCCUUCGGGUUGUAAACUGCUUUUGUACGGAACGAAAAGCUUCGGGUUAAUACCCUGGAGUCAUGACGGUACCGUAAGAAUAAGCACCGGCUAACUACGUGCCAGCAGCCGCGGUAAUACGUAGGGUGCGAGCGUUAAUCGGAAUUACUGGGCGUAAAGCGUGCGCAGGCGGUUAUGUAAGACAGAUGUGAAAUCCCCGGGCUCAACCUGGGAACUGCAUUUGUGACUGCAUGGCUAGAGUACGGUAGAGGGGGAUGGAAUUCCGCGUGUAGCAGUGAAAUGCGUAGAUAUGCGGAGGAACACCGAUGGCGAAGGCAAUCCCCUGGACCUGUACUGACGCUCAUGCACGAAAGCGUGGGGAGCAAACAGGAUUAGAAACCCGUGUAGUCCUUGAC
rnacentral:rRNA from 1 species